AUGUGUUUAUCCAUCUUUUCUCUCAUCUUCUGCUCUAAAACUCUUUCCUCUUCCAGCCAACUAACAGGUUUAUCUCAGACUCUGUUCCAAGUGGAUACCCUCACUGUCUACAAACACUCAGCGGACAGAAAGAUAACAGAAGGUUGCGAGGAAAAUCAGGUCAUAACAGGCCGGGAACAAGGACGAAGGCGUCAGCUCUGGAAAAAAAGCCAAAGACAGUCAAUUUUGGUUGGAUCACAAGGUUUCCAAGACAGUCUUCAGGUCAGAAGUUCCUUCUGAGAGGCUGUAAGGUCUUUAAAAAGGUGUUAUCAUUACCUCUGAGCGUUUUCCACUCAGAAGGCCUUUGUUUAUUUCACUCUUUUGCCACAUAGAGCUGCAAACAGCCUUUCUGCAUUGAUUUUUGUAGUGCACUUUCUUCACUCGGCUGUGAUGUGUAUCCUCCCUUUGCGUCUCAGCGUUCGAUUUGCCCGGCAGGUCUGUGAAAUCGUCUUUAUACAUAUUUUAACAUCUGUGAGAAAACGCUCUCAUGUCGGCUCAACUGAUGGUGCAACAUCCGCGCAACAGCUGAUCUCCAUCAGCUUUGAUCUCAUAUGGAUGGGAAGGUUAAUGGGACACAGCUAAAACACGGCUCACUCAUUAUUCAGACUCAUCUACACGCUAACAGAGGCGCUGCUGUGCUCUUCACGGUCGACUCGUCUCGUUACUUUGAAUGUCUUUUUAGGCAAUAACAGACACCAGUUUUAACACAUAAAAACAAAGAUUACUUGUAAAAUUGAAUAUCAUGGUAACAGUGUUAACAGUCAAAUCUGACGUUAUAUUUCGCAAUUUUUAGUUAAUAUCCCACAAUUCUGAGUUUAUCUCACAAUUCUGUUUACAUCACAAUUCUAGGUUAUAUAUCAAUUUCGAGUUUAUAUCUCAUAAUUCUGUGUUUAUUUUUUGUAAUUCAUACAUUAUAUAUAUUGUAAUUCUGAGUUUAUCUCACAAUUCUGACUUUCGUUCUCACAGUUUUGUUUGCAUGUCAAUUUUAAGAUUAUAUCUCGCAAUUCUGAGUUUACCUCGCAAUUCUGUUUACAUCACAAUUCUAGGUUAUAUAUCACAAUUCUGAGUUUAUAUCUCGCAAUUCUGAGUUUAUAUCUUGCAAUUUUGUUUACAUCACAAUACUGAAUUUGUAUCUUGCAAUUCUGAGUUUAUCUCGCAAUUCUGUUUACGUCACAAUUCUAGGUUAUAUAUCACAAUUCUGAGUUUAUCUCGCAAUUCUGUUUACGUCACAAUUCUAGGUUAUAUCUCACAACUUUAGGUUUAUAUCAGGUAUUUCCCAUGAGACCAGGUUGGUUUAUAUCUCUCAAUUUUGAAUUUAUCUCGCAAUUUUGAGUUUAUAUCUCAGUUCUGAGUUUGUCUCAAAAUUCUUGCGAUUUUAAAUCUUGCAAUUCAGACUUUGUCUUACAAUUAUGACUUUUCUUGUCAGAAUUAUGAGAGAAAAGUCUGAAUUGUGAGCUAUCCAUUCAGUCUUGCAGGAAAAAAAAAACUCACAUUUGUGAGAUAAAAAGUUGCAAUAACUUUUAUUUUUGUAUGCCACAGCAGAAACAAGCUUCCGAACCUUCGGUAGUGAACGUUACAGUUGUAGCACAUUUUGUGGUCAUUGAAACAUUGUUUCAUGUCACUGAAAAAUAUGCCUUAUGUAUUAUAUAACAUUAUAGUUCAAUACAAAGGGAAUUCAACUUUGUUUAGACUUAAUUGUGGCUCAAACCCUCUGUAAUUGUCACUGCACUGAUGUGUUUCAGUAUUUAUAGGGUUAAAAGGCAAAGAUUUCUCAAUGGUGAUUGGAUGACAAGCACAGAGUUAAUACACUAACCAUUCAUAACAUAGCUUCUGGCUAUUAUCGAUACGUAUCCAGUGGUUUUUUUUUACUCUGUUCCUCAAAACACACACACACACACACACACACACACACACACACACACACACACACACACACAGUGGACUUUGUGUUCCUGACAGUCUAUACUCACAUGGCCUGAAGGCAUCUUUGUUGAGCAGUGGUCAGUGUUCAGUGACGCUGUUCUCCAGAUGUGAUGGGUGUGCUUGUGUUUAUUUUCUUACCCACAGAUCUGCAGGGCCAAAGGCCAAGUGACUGCAAGAUAGGCCCCACCCAAUGAGGGGAGAGGGGCGGAGCCAGCCAUGCCUCACUGGUUAAUGACUACCAUGUGCUUUAUCAUCCUGGUUAUUUCAUAACAUUUUGAGUUUGGUGAUGACAUGAAGAUAUAUUUGGAUCUGAUGAAAACAUCUAUAUUUUAUGAAAAAUACAUUUUUCUUAUGUUUUUUUUGUUUUUAAUAAAAUGUUUUGUUCUUAUGUUU
ensembl:lncRNA